UACCGUUUGUAUCUCUUUUUGAUGUGAAUAAAGUCCAACACAUUCAGUGACUUGGAAAUGUACAUGUAUCCAUCCCCUGAUUUGUCUGAAGAAAACUGGCAAUAAAAUUGAUU